CCCUUAGGUGUCCUGGGCUGCACGCGCGCUACACUGAUGUGUCCAGUAAGCACCUAACCUCUUCCGAAAGGAACGGGUAACCUUUGCAAAGCACAUCGUGAUGGGGAUAGAUUAUUGCAAUUAUUAGUCUUGAACGAGGAAUUCCUAGUAAGCACAAGUCAUCAGCUUGUGUUGAUUACGUCCCUGCCCUUUGUACACACCGCCCGUCGCUCCUACCGAUUGAAUGUUCCAGUGAGCUCUUCGGACUGCGCGGUCUGCAGUUUCUGCGUUCCGUGCGGAAAGUUGCGCAAACCUUAACAUUUAGAGGAAGGAGAAGUCGUAACA
rnacentral:rRNA from 1 species